CUUUUUUUUUUUUUUCAAGAUGGAAUUUUUGCUCUUGUUGCCCAGGCUGGAGUGCAAUGCACAAUCUUGGCUCGCUGCAACCUCUACUUCCUGGGUUCAAGCAAUUCUCUUGCCUCAGCCUCCCUAGUAACUGGGAUUACAGGCAACCACCACCACACCCAGCUAAUUUUUUGUAUUUUUAGUAGAGAUGGGGUUUCACCAUGUUGGCCAGACUGGUCUCAAACUACUGACUUCAGGUGAUCCACCCGCCACGGCCUCCCAAAGUGCUGGGAUUACAGGCAUGAGUCACUGUGCCCAGCCCAAAUUCUUUUUCUUAUUCCUGUGUCUAAAACACAGCUAGACACACUUUCCAACUUCCUCUACAGUUAGGCAUGGCCAUGCACCUGAGUCCCAGCCAAUAAAAGUGGAUGGAAAUGGCACACACCACUUCCCGGCCCAGCCUGUGAGAUCCUACGUGCACUUUCCCUCUUCAGGCUGGUUGGAGUAGGUGUGAUCACUGGCAUUUGGAAGCCACAUGUUGAACAGAUUAGCCUCGGAUGACCUGAGCCCUUGAAUACCCACUUGGAGAAAAGCUGCCCUUCUGGCCUAUGCAUAUUCAGGAUUCGUACAAGAGCAAGAGAUAAACUUCUGUGUGGAUUCAUCACAGAUUGAGUGUUUUAUAAUAGCAGCCAGGUUACUCUAAUUCAUACAAACUAUAAGAUAAGGCAGCUCAAAUUGUUGAAAUGAUUAUUUAUUAAAAUGGAAAGAUAUUCACUGAAUAGUAGAGAGGAACAGAUUGAAAAACUUACUAUAGUGUGAUCCUAUUUUUUAAAAGAAUAUAUAUGCAUAUGUAUACAUACACACAGAGAAAGUUCUAGUAUAGAACAAAGUAUAGGUGUUUAUCUAUCUCUGGAUAGUGGUAGUAUAGGUAGGGCUUAUCUACAUUUUUUGAUAUGUCAAGCAUGAAUGUAUUCUGAUAUUAUAAUGAAAAAAUAAAAGCUAUGUUUAACAUUAAAAAUGAAAGAAUAUCUUAAAACAUAUAUAUAUAAAAGCAUAGCAUCUCAAAGUGAGUAGAUUUCCUGAGGGAAAUUAGAAAAGGUUUCUCAAACUGAACAUCUAUUAAUGACUCUUCUAACACUGAAAAUCUAUAAAUUAGCUACAGCCUGAGAAAUAGAUCGGUUCAAUUUACAACACACCUGGCUCCCAGCCUUUACAUAUCGAGUCCUCAUCAAUGGAAAUCAAUUCACCAGAAAAAAAAAUGGAAAAAAUACAUUUUUCACCUUUAAAAAGAAAGUGCCAGGAAACUAGUCUUAGUAGUUGUUUGGGGUGGAGUUGUUUAUAGAAAUAAAGAGAAAGGGAGGUUUUGGGUGUUGGAGGGAGGAAAAGUAGCACACUUAAACUCUUUUUAUCUUCUGAAUAUUGCUAUAUGCAUUUAAUGCCUAUUCAAAACAUUCUUAGUUCUAAAACCUUUUGUAAAUAGUAAGUCAGAGAUUCUCAUUGAAUUGGUUAAGAGCAGAGACAAAUGCUAAGCAAACAAUUCAUAAUUUCCAGGUGGAAUUUUACUGACCCAUGAAUCUAAUUGGUCAUUGCAGCAAAGUUUCCCCCUUUUAUUUGGGAAGAGCCUAAAUCUAUUCUUCCCAUAUACUGAAGGACAAGGGACAAUUAGUGAAGACACCUCCACUCCCCUCCACACAAUCUUCAAAAGUGUCUGGAGAAGGAUUUUGUUGUACAAUAAGAACCAGAAACUGCAAAACAUGGUGUGUCGAAGUCUCAACCCCUGUUCCGCUGUCAUGAAGGCUUGGAGGAAUGGAGUUGACCUGAGAGAGGUGGGGCAGGCCUCCAACUCUCUGGAUUGAGGAAGAGUGUUGUGGGUUGAGGUUCCUGUGAAACAGACUCUGAGACGGUGAUUUGGCUAUAGGUGGCUUAAUAGGGAGGACUCUUGAGUAUAACAUAAGUAAGGGAGUAAAGGAAGCAGAAUGAGGCAAAAGGAGGAGUUGAGCCAUGAAGCAGUGAUGACAAAGGAGUCAGGGGAUGCCACAGGGCACUCUGGGGCUGGGAUGGCCCUUCAGUUGGAGCAAGGGCACCAAGCCUUUACAUGCCCUCAUGGUCUUGGAAAAGAAGCUCUCUUCAGCCAGUUUUCUAAGAGGGACUCAGUUGUGAGACAUCAGGAGGCAAUACUCACAGCACCUGAAAGCCUGAUUAUGAUUCCAUUGGAACGUGGGAGUCAAUCUCUAAACAUAGCCCCGAAAGCGGCCUCCGCCAUCAUCCUUGUGCUGUAGCUUCUCUCCCUGAGAUCCCCGACAGCAGGUGUCUUUCCUCAUCCAUGGACCUUCAGCCCCCAUCACAGUGCCAGACACAUAACAGAUGCCCAAUAAAUGCUGAAUGAAGAAUCGCCCCAGCAUUGCACUUGGUACAUAGAAGGAAUGAUAGGAACACAGCGCAAGAAGCUUGACUGCAGCUCUGCAUUGCAACUCAGGCCAUGAUACUUGAACCCCACAGGGAGCUCUGGGGGCUCUGAGUCCAGCACAAUGGUGCCACGUCUCCAACACUCUGGGUCAUCCUGCCCAAAACUAAAUCCAGCUGGGGAUGAAGGUAGGUGCUUCCUAGCAGGCCCAGAAAGGAAUCCAAUUGGAAUCACCUGUGGAACACAGAGACCCUAACAAAACCCCAGGCAGGCUUUCCUUUUCUUCACCUGCUGCUCCCCUUUGGAGGAUCGAGGGGUGGAGGCACAGUUCCUUCCCUGGUCCCCAGCCUGCUGAGAGCGAGCGGGCAGGAGCUUACGGCAGCCCCUACUGCACCACUGAUGGCUCAUCCCAGCUAUGGCUGAGGAGGGCCUGCAGCCAGGUGCAGCCCAUGGGUUGUGAGGGGCCACAAAUGUUUCCUUGCUGCAGGUGGGCUCUCUCCCCAUGGGCGAAGCCUAAGGGGCCAUAAGCCUUUGUGUGGAUGGUAGUUGGUUUUGUGGCAAUGCCAUUUCACUGUCUGACUUGUUUCCCAGGAAAGGAGGGCCUUAUUAUCAAAUCAAGACUGCUGAGCUCCUCAAGCAUUGGCAGGUCUCCUGUGGCCAGGAAGAGAGAGCCACCAGCAUCAGGGUACCCUGAGGUGCAGAGGGAUGAAAUUAAGCAAAGGAAAAAUCAGGCUGAUGCCAACUAAUACUCACGGCCAGAACUCUGCUUUCGUUAAGACCCACUUUCUGAGAAGAAAGAGGCCACCACUUCUUCUUUACCCACCCUGGACCACCCUUCUCACUCAGCCCUCCCUGGCAGCAUAAAGUCAACACAAAACCAGUUGCUUUUCAUAAGUGAAGCCAUUCCUUUCUUGAAGUGCCAUUUCCUGAACAAAGAAUGUAACAAUAAUCAGCUUCUCACAAUCAGAAUCUAAGGAUAUUAAGGUGAGAGGGAAGCUUAGGGACCUAAUCAAAGUCCCUCAUUUUAAAAGAAAACUGAAAUUCAGGAAAAUGAAGUGACCCAUCCAAGGCCAAUCUAGGUCCAUUCUCUACCUCAUGAACACCAAGGAUCAGGACUUCUAUGAACCAAGGAUGGAGAACCAAAUUAUCUAUAAUAAGGAAUUUCAAACAGAAGGAAUUUGAGGAAAAAGAAACUACUUCGGCCAAUGAACAACUACAGAGACCUAGACCUGCACAGAAGAUAGUACAGGGCAUUCUGAACAAGAGAAGAAGGACAACCGAGGAGAAGGCGGAAGAAAAGGUGAUCAAACCAGAAGAGGCAGGACCAGUAAGCUUCCUAAGAAAACUCUGCUCCUCCCCCUGGGGAGAAAGUGAAUUUUUGGCCCUCUACCCAACCUAGUUAUUUUCCUUAGUAUUAGAGAUAGCAUUGUCCUUUAGAUUACUUCUUUCUGGAAAUGAUUUUCUAAAUUUUAAUUAAAACUAAACCCUUUACAAUGAAGCCUUACUAUUACAUUCUAAAUUAAACAAAUAAAAACAUAUAUCCAAAUGUAUUUAAAAUGGGGCAAUGGAAGGAUAUGGUAAAGCUAUGUGACAGGCUGAAUGAAUUUUAAUGUCAUCCUGGAACUUGACUGUAUGUAGUGCUUUUGUCCGUUUCAUGGGAGAACCUGCUGUUGGGCAUAUAUGCUUAUAAAGCCUCUUGAUGAACUUCCUUCAGUGGGUUUUAGUCACUAACGUACUAAAAUAAGAUCUGAAAAUGAUUAAAUUGCAAGGUAUUUCAACCACGGUUUUCUCAUGACACAGGCUCUGCUUUACCUUACAGCUGGUUCCAGUGUCCACGAAUGAAUUUUCUAUGAACCUCACAUAUGUUACCCCCUUCCCAAAAGCCAAACCAAUUUAGAGAGAACACAGGGAAAAUGAUCCUUUUCUUUAUUUCUGGAAAUACGUGCUAUGCGGAAAAAGUUUCUAUCCAGAGGGAAAAC
rnacentral:lncRNA from 10 species